rnacentral:rRNA from 1 species
GAUGAACGCUGGCGGCGUGCCUAAUACAUGCAAGUCGAGCGAACAGACGAGGAGCUUACUCCUCUGACGUUAGCGGCGGACGGGUGAGUAACACGUGGAUAACCUACCUAUAAGACUGGGAUAACUUCGGGAAACCGGAGCUAAUACCGGAUAACAUGUUGAACCGCAUGGUUCAACAGUGAAAGACGGUCUUGCUGUCACUUAUAGAUGGAUCCGCGUCGCAUUAGCUAGUUGGUAAGGUAACGGCUUACCAAGGCAACGAUGCGUAGCCGACCUGAGAGGGUGAUCGGCCACACUGGAACUGAGACACGGUCCAGACUCCUACGGGAGGCAGCAGUAGGGAAUCUUCCGCAAUGGGCGAAAGCCUGACGGAGCAACGCCGCGUGAGUGAAGAAGGUCUUCGGAUCGUAAAACUCUGUUAUUAGGGAAGAACAAAUGCGUAAGUAACUAUGCACGUCUUGACGGUACCUAAUCAGAAAGCCACGGCUAACUACGUG